rnacentral:rRNA from 1 species
AUUGAACGCUGGCGGCAGGCCUAACACAUGCAAGUCGAGCGAGCGGCGGACGGGUGAGUAAUGUAUGGGGACUGCCCGAUAGAGGGGGCUAACUACUGGAAACGGUGACUAAUACCGCAUACUAUCGGAUAACCCAUAUGGGAUUAGCUUGUAGGUGGGGUAAAGGCUCACCUAGGAGACGAUGUCUAGCUUGUCUGAGAGGAUGAUCAGCCACACUGGGACUGAGACACGGCCCAGACUCCUACGGAGGCAGCAGUGGGGAAUAUUGCACAAUGGGCGCAAGCCUGAUGCAGCAAUGCCGCGUGUAUGAAGAAGGCCUUAGGGUUGUAAAGUACUUUAAGCGGCGAGGCGUUACCCGAAGAAGAAGCACCGGCUAACUCCGUGCCAGCAGCCGCGGUAAUUC